CUGACAUCAGAUACUGCCCUGUACCAAUAUAAGGAUACACAUCUAAAACAAAUCUUUGACAAAAUUCUUUCCGAUACAUAUGGACUUCUUCUCUCCUUCUACUUCCAAGAAACUAAGGCACAGAUGUAAAUUAUUUUUCUGAGUGAGCAUAACUAGCAAAAGACUGGACGGUGACUGCGAUCCACUUGGUGGGAUUCCAGAGUCCACGCUCCUGACCUGAGCUGGGCUGGACAGCAUCUCCAUACCCCUCAGUAGUUCCCCUUCUCCUUCCCUACCUUUGGAAGUCAGAAUCCCCAGGGAGCAGCCUCAUCUUCCACCAGGAAGAAAGUGCCCCCAGAGACAGCAUUGAGUCCAGUUACCAGUCCCCCAAAGCCCAUUCUCAUCUCCAGGCUAAAGGUGACUCAGUCACCAUCGCAGGUCCAUCCAUCACUGCAUGGGAACCUUUCCCUCUUCUCCUCUGGGACAGGGCCUGUCUGAACUCCAACCACACUGGCAGCUAAGUCUCCACCUGCUUCUCCACAGCCCCAUGAACUGCUCUCACUCCGCAUCCCUGAUCACUGUGUCAGAAGGCUACGUGGAGCCCUCCUACUCUUUGGCAUCUGCACUGUGUCGAUCCUGAAGGGUCCCCUCUCAGGAUACAAUCCCAUACCUCCUCCUUCACUCUGCAGACAGUACCUGCUCAUCCCCCCAGGCCUGUACCAUGCAGACUCCUAACCCAUCAUUACCCUUGUCAUCUUCCCACAGAAGGGGGAUAAAAAACCAAGUCAGGGAGGAUGGCCAGUCUCUCCCCUCCACAUCAACCACCCUCCUUAUGUCCCAGAGCUCAUGUCCUGUCCCUUCCCUCCAGACCUGCUGCAGGAAGCCUGUGUUGCUACCUCUGAUGCUGACAAAAUGGACUCCUUUAAAGCUAAGCCUGAUACUCACAGAGAGUUUUCCAGCCUGUUUCUUGAUUUGGUCUACAUCUAUAUUCCACAUCAUAACCAAAGUCAAAAACUGAUGAGAAUAGUCCUUAUAAAGUUCCUGCCUGUAGAAGACAACGGUGAACACUGUGAUAUUCCUUCUCGACAUGAAGAAAGCCCAUCCAAACCAAGCAUAACUGACUUGCCCUCACUAAAGCUUCAGAGGGAAGACUAGGAAAGGGCACCUAAAAUAUUCUGACAGGGAAAUGGAAAAUAGGUGGAUUUUGUGGUUUUACACUAACAGUUUCUGUUUCCUGUUGGAUUAGAAGGAAGUCACUUCAAAUACCUUAGGUUUAUAAAUCUUAGGGAGAAGUGUAAUUAAUUAGUAUCUGAGUAACAUUCCACAAGUAUUCAUCUUCCUGAGAAGCACAGCUUCUCCUUUAUUUUCUCCUGCUGAAGAAUUGGUUCUGUGAGGAUGCAUACCCAUGACCAUCAGAGAAUUCUGCAGAGGUUUACCCACUCUUCCUCACUUUAAGGCAGAGCAUACUUUUGCAUAUUUGUAAUUUACAAAAGGGUCAACUCUGUUCCAUAAAUGUAUAGAUUAUUCUUCUACAAGAUUCAUCUCUUUUUUCCAUAUGAUUGAGUAUCUGCUAUAUGGAAUGUGUUUUGAGAUACUCAGUGUUAACCCGGGUAUCACAUUCAAGAGUGGCACACAAAUUCUUUAUGGUGAAUAAAUUCAAAUAUAUUACAUUGACUAGACC
rnacentral:lncRNA from 1 species